rnacentral:sRNA from 1 species
AGCAACCUACUUGCCACCUGGGGAGGUGCAGCGUGGCUUGACUGGAUAGUAGCCUCUUUGGGUUUUGCUUCAAACCCAACCUAUUUGAAGCUCAGCAGCGAUCUGAACUAUAUCCUGGGUUCCAGAAAAGGCAGAGGUUCUUACCGAAAGCAGGUAAGUGUCUUGUCUGUCUGCAUCAAGCUCAGAGUUGGUAGGAAAAGACUCUUCUAGCAAAUAAACCAUUGGGGGAAAGGGGAAGAGCAGCCAGUGGGACAGGGACACUCAUCCCAUUUGUUGGAUAGAGUCAGAAGGGGUGGGCACGAGGAAGUGGCCGCCCCUGACCAUGGGGUAUCCCAGGCAACGUCCAAGCCAGGAAGCAAGUGAUUUUCUUGGCAAUAAGUCAAGAACUGGCUCCUGGCUACUAGUGUGAGGGGCUCAUUCCUGGGAACACUCACCCUUGCUCUGCUAAUAAGAGGAAGUAGGCGGGGACGUGGUCAUCACCCUGAGGCCCCCAACCCAGCUCCUCACAGUGGGAAGAAACGAGCACAGCUCUACAGUGGAGCCAGCAGUCUCGUGACAAG